ACUCAGGUGGCUCAGAUGGUAAAGCGUCUGCCUGCAAUGCGGGAGACCCGGGUUCGAUCCCUGGGUUGGGAA
rnacentral:tRNA from 1 species